rnacentral:lncRNA from 1 species
CUGGAAGGGCAGUCCUCUCUCUAGGAUGCAAUGGCUGAAGGGAAGAUGGCCAGGAUGAUCACGUGGGUUAUCCCCAGUGAUGGAGUGGGUACCACUUUAUGAGGGUCCGUGGGCGUCUUGGUAAGGAGCUUGAAUUAUAUUCUAAGUCAGGGGACAGGUCUGCUGUGGAAAUGAGACGAAUGCCUUUAUCCAUAGCCCCGUUGAUCCUGUAGAUUUAUCUCAGAUAUCUCUGCUGUGUUCACAAACGUUGUGGAGAAAGCAGAAUCAAUAAAGGACAGAAGGAAUAAAGAGAGAGCUGUUCAGACCAGGGAAUUACGGCGUUGUGAUUCACUUGGAAGACCGGCAUAAAAAUGCGCAGCGGAAUCUAUCAGUUGCAGUGCCAUCAAGGACAGCGGUGAAGGAGAUAAGGUGAUGGACGGAGUGUGAGGUUUUCAUCUUAAACCUGAUGAAGGAAACUAAGAUGGGGACUGAGAAUGCUGUCCCCAAAUGGAUGAACCUGUUGACUAGCCGAUCAGUAAACUGUAAAUGCUGCUGUAAAAUAAAGAGUGUUUGGGCGAUAAAUCAGACAGGAAGAAUUCUCGGUUUCCCCGGGGAGCAUUUUUGAAGACUUUCUAGGAAAGUCCCAAUACAAAGGAACAACUCCACUUCAAAGUGUCCCGUGAAAAGCUACAUCCCAGGAGAACCUGCCUUCCAAAAAGCUCACCCCUCCUCCCGCAGUGGUACCCACUGCCAGGCAGCCAGGACUGUUAAUACAUGCAGUGAUGGGCACAUCCUGAAUAUUCCUGAAGAUUCAUUGGAAGGACUGAUGCUGAAGCUUCAAUACUCUGGCCACCUGAUGCCAAGAGCUGACUCAUUGGAAGAGACUCUGAUGCUGAGAAAGAUUGCGAACAGGA